AUUUUGCACGCGGUGCCUCACUAGCAGUCUUUUGCGAUAAUUGAUGGAGCAAAUUAGUGGUUACGUCUUUGAUUGCACUCAAAUUAAUGAGAAAUUUUGGUAGAAUAUGCAAGAGCUAUAAAAAUAUUUGCUACUUUAGCCUAGAGAUUUUGUAGGCGUUAUUCGAUGUCGUCAUCAUUUCUGUAAGAUGCAAUACAAUAGUUACGUGUCUGCCUAUUGAAAUUAAGGGUAUGUAAAAAUAAAAAAAAUAAAGUCCGAAUAAGGCUGUCUAAAGACUUAGUUUCGUUCUAAGAGCGAGCCCUCUGAAGCAACGCCUAAUGGCUCGAGUAUUGGAUGUAAAACUUAAAAUAUCUAAUUUAUUCGACGCUAUCAAGACUGUCUAAUAUUUAUUUUAUUCGAGGCUAUCAAUACUAUCUAAGGUGACUAACAACAAGUUAAGAAUUAAACGUUCGGUAAGUGUUUGAUACGAAGCAAGUGAUAUAGGCCGCUUCACUUGCACUGGAAUAUUUUGUUUACAAAACGUCAGAUUAGGGUUUUUCCUAAUUUAUGAAAUUAGCUGUUUGGGACUUAGUAUAAUUUUGAUUUUGUUGAUUUAUGUGGCUGUUGAAGCUAAUGAUGUACUUGCUUCAAUCGUGCUAAUAAUAAAAAUAGUAAAAGCCCAAUAGCAUCCGAGCUAAUAAAAUUUCACUUCCUCAGACUUAGCUAGGGUACAUAAACGACGCAAACCUAUACUAAGAACGUGGUUUUGACUGAUAGGCUUUUUAUGCAAUUUGAUUUUUAUUCGCUUUGACGGAAGCUAGUGUACUUUUGUCACUAGUUAUCGUCGGUUCAGUGGGGUGUAAUUUUGAUCCAUGUAUCCAAACCAGGAUUUUCGUUGGACUUGUGUUUUGAAAAUUCCCGUUUUUUGAUGCGCAUCCAUUUACCAAUACCGAUUUUCAAUAUUCAGGGCUGACUGAAUCGUUCUGGAACGCAUCUAGCGUUUUUUCUUGCACCAAUAAUGUUUGAGUUCCAUCGUACUGAAAUAUGAAUCACGCUUUUUUUCUAGUAACAUCGUGGCGGAGCAGCGUCUUCAGUGAAGACUGAGACAUUUUUCUGUGAAUAACUUUAGAGCUUAUUUUAUUUAGAAACGUUUUCAGAGUUCGACCACCGUGCCUGACUAAUCUUGAAUACCUGGCGCGACUUAAAACAGUUCUUCAAUUGUAGGAAGGCAAUAUAGAUAGGCUUCCUAAGCAAGUUUACAGUCAAAAAAGCAUAGUCUGUACCAUUAGCAGCAAUCUUACAUAUGCCAACAAAUUAUUAAACAAUGGCUAUACGUUGUGGGUAACGGUUAGGCCUUAGAAAAUCGAUAAAAACAUCUGUCUCAAAGUUAAUGUUGUCGACACUGAAAUUUCAGGCUGACAAUGAUUAUUCCACAACAACCAAAUUGAGCUUUUCUGUUCACAGACUAUUCCAGAAAGCCUCAAAUGCGCUUAUCGGCACUAAAAAUUUCGUUUUUUUCUACAGACCAUGGGUCUGUCUUGGUUGAUAUAUCGUAUCGUCAAGGAGUAUUUUUCCUAAAGAUAUGCAAAACAAUUUGUUAAUGAAAAGUUAUAUUUUUUUAACUAUGACGAUUCUCUAUAAACAGAUUUAAUGAUUGUCAUCGGUGAUAGUUACGAGUCAGUCUUCUUUCGGGUGUCGAGUAUUCAAUGAUAAAUCCACCUAACCUGGCAGGGUUUUCGAGCGUAUUAUUCAUGUUCAGUGUUAAGUGUUUACGCAUGAAUUUUAUGUCGUUUAACUAUUGUUUUAUGCCUUUUCACUUCAAUGAUAGGCUUUCAUUGUUUGCUAAUAAGAUAAAAUACUAACAGGGAAUUCUGUUCUGACUAAAUAUGACCGAUUUAGAACAUUUGUGCGACACUAAUGGUAGUAAAUAGAUGGCGGUCAUUGUUGUAAACAAUGAAUACACCAUUCAGUUAUGAUUUUCUGUGUGGAAAAUAACUGAUCUGUCUCUCCACAAGCAUCACUAACGUGGCGUUCAACGGAAUUUGUUGCGAAUUACGCAAAAAAAUUACAAUGGGAACGUCCUAUCUUUUUCAAUGUAUUAAGCAAACAACACCUGACUCCCGAUAUGAAAUAGACAUGCCCGGAUUCGGACCUAAACCGCCACGUGUCCCUGACAUUAGCAGGCAAACGCGAUCAUGAGAACAACGUGGAACCUAAGCAACGGCAAAGGUAGUCGCUAGCAGUUUCAUCUGAACGAUUCAAUGGCUUUUAAGAUCAACUCAUCGCUUGCGGAACACUUCUUGGUGGAUAAGACUUGGUCAUCCGAUCUCUCGAUGACUUAAUAUAUAUUAAUAAUGCUGAUAAGGCGUAAAUGAUCGCUUGAAUUGUUAUUAUUCCUGUAGUUGUUAAAAGAGGCAACUCAAAAAGGAAGUCUGGUUUUUGGGGUAGCACGUCUAGUAGUUGCUAGUGUUUAAUUUAAACGCAUUUGUAACAGUGAAAUUGCAUUAUUGGCCGUCAUCGUUGCAUGAUAUAUUACAAAAAAGAAAAGAAAACCAUUGGCGAUAGUGGUACAAUGCGUUAUUUACAAGGGUUGUUUACAGGCAAUUAUCCACAGCUUACAACUGUGGAUAAUUGCUUGUAAACAAAAAUGUUUCAACCCAAUGGAGGAUCGUAGAAAAAGUGAUUAAAAGAAAUAUCGACGUGUAGACGACAGUGUAAUUGUUUUUACCAGAUUUUAUGAACACUAAAGCCCCUUACUGAUGAUAUGCAAAGAAAGCUGAAGAUCUUGGUGCAGAAUAAAUGUUACUCAUGGUAGUAAAGUUUUACCUUGAUUUAACUCUAACAAAAACGAUGACUUGUACCACCCAGCAAUAUAUAAGGAUAAAAAAAAAUAUCACAUUUUUAUAUUUACAGCAAGCAUUUAGCCAAAGUUGCUUUGCCGAAAUGCUCGAUAUCUCCUUCGCUGUAGUCUGCGAGGGCAAUCGAUCAAACUUAUAAAAGAGUGGAAAUGAUAUUGUUCGACAUUUUGGUACUCUUGUUUUGCAACUGACAAAAUAAAAACAAUUUUGACUCUUUUUUUUUAUUCGAUUGUUUUUGUUAUCGUAGUUAAAAAACGAAUUGAUUAUUACGGAUAUAUUACAGCUGUAUACUAAAUAGUGUUGCUUUACUGCCAAAUAUUUAUAUACUAUUUGUAUAUCUAUCGAAGUAUUCAGUGGCGGAAAAAUAUAAACGAUUUUUUAGGUGCUUUCGAAUUUCAGACAAUAUGAGUCAGUGCUGGUACCAUAAAAGCCGAGACUUGGCACUAGUAGAUAUUCUUUAAUUGUUGGAAAGGCUUUAUAAAUGCCUUAAAAGUAAAUGAAACAUUCGCUAUAAUUUAAAUUUUAUUACGAUAAACGAACAAAUGCUGCUCAGGCUCAUAUGGAAACGCCAACAUGCGUUGUCGAAAAAGAAACGGUCCAGAGAUGGUUCUGUCGCUUUCGCUCGGGAAGUUUCGAUAUGAAAGCUGCCCUCGUAAUGGUUGACCAAUCACGAAAAAAGUUAAGCUACACUGACACGUGAGUAGCCAUGGCGCCGCCUGAAAACUAAGCAUCCACCACCGAAGACUUCAAAGCCAUUUGGAAAAAGCUAGCUACAAAAGGAGGGCUGAUGUUUGGGUGCUAUACGACUUGACGAAACAGAAUUCACUCAAUCGUGUUUCCAUCCCUAAGGCUUCACAGAAAUGCAACAAAAUCGAGGUUUUUCGUUUGAUGACGGGUUUAUAAGAAGUCGAUUAUAUAAGACAAUGAGCGAAAAAGGUCAUAGCCACAGCGGGAAAAGGUUCACAAAAACUGCUUGGACUGAUCCGAAAGAAGGUUAUGCUAUAUAUUUGACAGCUUUGGAAUACAAUCGUGUAUAUGAGCUGCUGUCGCUUGACAAAGUAAUUUAUUUGAAUUUCUGCUGCCAACAACAAACAUGAUUAUAAGAAGCUACUGAAAAAAUCGAUUUAUACAAGUGGACAAAAGCGCAUCGUAUUCCACCACUACAGUGCCAGAUAACACAAAUUUUUAGCUAACCAGCAAACAUUGCAAGAUUUGAGGAGAACUUUUAAUAAUAAUAAUUUAACUUAAAAUUUUGCAUCAUCAGACUAUCAGCAUCUGUUUCGGUUUCUGCAAAACCCUGUGGAUUGUUUUAAUUUUAUUUUAGUAAAAUGGCGCAAAAAUUACUUGUGACAGUUUUUCAUUCACAAACUAAAGACGUUUUAUAGUGAUUGGAUUAUGAUGAUAUUUGAAAAAUGGCAAAUGAUCAUCGAUCAGAAUAUCUCAUAUUAAGUUUUAAAAUAUUAUUAAAAAAUUGCUUUAAUUUUGGAUGAAAAACCGUCAAUACCUUUUCGACAACCUAAUACUUUGCCAUACAUUGGUUAGUGUUACUUAAUAAUGAUCUCUUAUCUAUGUUAUCUAAUAAAUAACUGACGUUUCUCGUUUCUCUGGUGUUUGCACUUUGCCUGAUUGCGCCCA